AGUGAACGCUGGCGGUAGGCCUAACACAUGCAAGUCGAACGGCAGCACAGUAAGAGCUUGCUCUUACGGGUGGCGAGUGGCGGCCGGGUGAGGAAUACAUCUGAAUCUACUUUUUCGUGGGGGAUAACGUAGGGAAACUUACGCUAAUACCGCAUACGACCUACGGGUGAAAGCAGGGGAUCUUCGGACCUUGCGCGAUUGAAUGAGCCGAUGUCGGAUUAGCUAGUUGGCGGGGUAAAGGCCCACCAAGGCGACGAACCGUAGCUGGUCUGAGAGGAUGAUCAGCCACACUGGAACUGAGACACGGUCCAGACUCCUACGGGAGGCAGCAGUGGGGAAUAUUGGACAAUGGGCGCAAGCCUGAUCCAGCCAUACCGCGUGGGUGAAGAAGGCCUUCGGGUUGUAAAGCCCUUUUGUUGGGAAAGAAAAGCAGCAGGUUAAUACCCCGCUGUUCUGACGGUACCCAAAGAAUAAGCACCGGCUAACUUCGUG
rnacentral:rRNA from 1 species